rnacentral:rRNA from 1 species
GACGAACGCUGGCGGCGUGCCUAAUACAUGCAAGUAGAACGCUGUUGCGAACGGGUGAGUAACGCGUCGGUAACUGCCUCAUAGCGGGGGAUAACUAUUGGAAACGAUAGCUAAUACCGCAUACUGUGAGAUGGACCUGCGUUGUAUUAGCGAGUUGGUGGGGUAAAGGCUCACCAAGGCGACGAUACAUAGCCGACCUGAUAGGGUGAUCGGGCACACUGUGACUGAGAAACGUGCCAGAAUCCCACGGGCGGCUGCAGUAGGGAAUCUUCGGGAAUAGACGGAAGUCUGGCCGAGUAAAGCCGGGUUAGGGAAGAAGGUUGUCGGAUCGUAAAGCUCUGUUGUUAGACAAACGGUAACUAACCAGAAAGGGACGACUGACUACGUGCCAGCAGCCGCGGUAAUAC